CCGGAAUAGCUCAGUCGGUAGAGCAGAGGACUGAAAA
rnacentral:tRNA from 2 species